GGAGGGGUGGCUGAGUGGCCGAAGGCUACGGUCUUGAAAACCGUCGUUUCGCAAGAAACCGUGGGUUCGAAUCCCACCCCCUCCGCCA
rnacentral:tRNA from 1 species